AGUGGCUAUAAAUGUGAGUGCAGCCCUGUCCUGUCCUCAGCUGCUGCCCUGGGCGCACUGCCUUGCGGGUCACUGUGGCUGCUCCUGUGCUUCAGCGGGACUAGAAGCUGCCGCCCACGGGCAGCGGGGAAGAAAUCUGGGCAAAGCCAUGAGCCCUCCGAGGCUGAGCUCCAGUUUAGGGGCUCACCUGCCUUGCAUCGUUCCGAGUCCUGUACUGGACUGCAUCAGGCCGCGUCUCCUCAGGGUGGUACCUCUAAAUCCAAAAACUCCAAAUGUCCACCAGCUCCAGUCACAUUGGAGAUACAGCUGUGGUUUGCUCCUAAGACCCACCCAGCACACGUGAGAUGGGGAGACCUGGAUUGCAUCCCCAUGUCUGUCCCAGUGGAGAUAUCAUUGGAAAAGCUGCAGUGAUCUCUAUAAAAAUCUCAACCACCCGCUCCCAGUAGGUUCAGUGCUGCACUCUAAGAGGAGAACAGGUCUGACUCCUCAAGGAGAUGCCUCUGGUCCAGGCUUUGUAAACUUGGGCCUUCCAGCCAGAUUCCUCCGAGCUCAGUGUCCGCUGCUGCUGGGCUGAGGGGAACCCCACUCCUUCACCACCGACUCCUGCUCCUGGCUGCACCUGCCCUUCCAACAGUGUCUCCUCUCAA
rnacentral:lncRNA from 1 species